CCUAGUUUGGGAUUGGGUGGGAAGACCUCAUAAAAUAGUGAAGGGUAGACUGAGUCUUGAAUGACCUAAACAAAUAUAUAGAUAUAAUUGGCCAGCCCUCAGCUGGUCUCUGAUUAUGACCCGACCUGCUGAGAUAAAAUCCAGUGCAUCCUGUGCUACCUUGUUCAUGUCCCAGGAUUCAGUGACUUUGGGCAACUGAGGCUGUACAGGAAGCAUGGCUGGAGAGGCCCCAGGAAACUUACAAUCAUGGUGGAAAGCAAAGGGGAAGCAGACUGUACAGGAAGCAUGGCUGGGAGGCUUCAGGAAUUUACAAUCAUGGCAGAAGGCAAAGAGGAAACAAGCACAUCUUCUCAUGGUCAGCAGGAGAGAGAGAGAGAGAGAGAGUGAAGGGGUGCUGGUGAUACAAUCAGACAAGUUCUCUGCUGUUCUGGAGUUUACAUUUGGAAGAAUUGUGUUAUAUAACCAGGGAAGGAUGUGGUAACUCUCCUGAAACCUUCCCUUGGUCAUUGUCUUCUUCUUCUUCUCCUCCUCCCUUUUCUCCCUCUCUUCCCCCUCCUCCUUCUCCUCUUAUUCUUCUUCCUCCUUCUGUUUUUAAAUGAGGAAGCCCAUAGAAAAUAUUGUGACAGGGAGAAAUGGAUUUUAAAUAAGUAUGACUGAAAAAAAACUUUCACUAUAAUAGAAAAUCUUGGUGCUGAGGGAAGAAAUCCAAAAAAUUAAAAAUCUUCAGAAGGUAUGUCUUUGAACAGACAAA
rnacentral:lncRNA from 1 species